rnacentral:rRNA from 1 species
UACGUAGGUGGCAAGCGUUGUCCGGAAUUAUUGGGCGUAAAGCGCGCGCAGGCGGUUCUUUAAGUCUGAUGUGAAAGCCCACGGCUCAACCGUGGAGGGUCAUUGGAAACUGGGAAACUUGAGUGCAGAAGAGGAAAGUGGAAUUCCAUGUGUAGCGGUGAAAUGCGCAGAGAUAUGGAGGAACACCGGUGGCGAAGGCGGGACUCUGGGCUGUAACUGACACUGAGGAGCGAAAGCAUGGGGAGCGAACAGG